AAUCUCAAUUCGUGACCUUAAAACUCCUCUAUCCCUUUGAUAUGGUCAUAUUUUUAGCAUUUCCUUUGCCUCUUGUCUGCGAUAACACUUUAAGUUGCAAAAGUCAGAGACGCCUAUUGCACAAGUUCUUUUUUUCCUUCCCCAGAAAGUUUGCAGGUUGGUCCAAUUCAAUUCCCCUUUCUCGGAAGAAGGAACUAACUCCAUCAAAUAGAGGCCAGCGAGAAUAUCAUCCUUGAGAUUCUGCUGGUCUGCUCUGGAGAUUCUUCCUAUCAUCACCAGUGUCUUGAAUUGUCCUCCUUAACUUGGAUCUGAAUUUCCCCAAACAGACAAACAACAAUUUUGCACAAUGGAAGAAUUUAAUUACAUAGAAGAUGAUGAUGACUUUAGUGGAAGUGGCUUCUAUAAUGUUACAUCUGAAUACCCAGAUGGGUAAGUACAUUAUAGUACAAAGUAUUUGCUUUGCAGGAAUGUAAUUAGCCUUCUAAGUGUUUCAUAACAUUCUAAAAGGAAAAUUGCUCCUCUGCUCUGCCCAUGGAGGCUUCUGGUAAGGAUGGAUAGA